rnacentral:tRNA from 1 species
GUCCAGGUGGUUCAAUGGUAGAAUUCUCACCUUCCAUGCAGGAGACCUGGGUUCGAUUCCCAGCCAAUGCA